rnacentral:rRNA from 1 species
UACAGAGGUCUCAAGCGUUGUUCGGAUUCAUUGGGCGUAAAGAGCUCGUAGGCGGUGUGUCGCGUCGGCCGUGAAAACCUGCAGCUUAACUGUGGGCUUGCGGUCGAUACGGGCAUCACUGGAGUUCGGCAGGGGAGACUGGAAUUCCUGGUGUAGCGGUGAAAUGCGCAGAUAUCGGGAAGAACACCCGUGGCGAAGGCGGCUCUCUGGAACGCAACUGACGCUGAGACGCGAAAGCGUGGGGAGCAAACAGG